GCAAUGCAACAUGACGAUCAGAUUGAGGCUAUCCUUGCUGGUUUGUCUGAUGAUUACAAGCCUAUUAAGGAUCAGAUUGCUGGACGUGAGACAUCACCUCGUCUUCCUGAAGUGUAUGAGAAGCUGCUGAAUC
rfam:Capsella rubella cultivar Monte Gargano unplaced genomic scaffold scaffold_4, whole genome shotgun sequence.